UAUUGCUGUAACUCCGGAGGCACGAGUGUGAACAUGAGGGGGUGUAUUAGUUCGCGGGUUAGCCGCGCCUGUCUGCUGGACGUCUGAGUCGAUUGCGGGCUCUAGUGUAAGCUUGAGCUCGCGGCCGGUGCGGUUCGGCGGAACGCUCCAGGCUGGUAACAGAGCAGAGAAAAGCCGACGCUUUGACUGGCCAGCAGACCGCAGGUGUAUCUCAACCCGUCCAGACUUCAAAUGCA
rnacentral:SRP_RNA from 1 species